GCUUUAGAGGCUUGAUCCAAAGCCCACUGAUGUCAAUGGGAGUCUUUACACUGACUUCAGUGGGCUUUGGGUUAGCCCUGAAAUGC
rnacentral:pre_miRNA from 1 species